UACGUAGGGGGCUAGCGUUGUCCGGAAUCAUUGGGCGUAAAGCGCGCGUAGGCGGCCAGAUAAGUCCGGUGUGAAAGUCACAGGCUCAACCUGUGAAUGCCGCUGGAAACUGUCUGGCUCGAGUCCGGGAGGGGCGAGUGGAAUUCCUGGUGUAGCGGUGAAAUGCGCAGAUAUCAGGAAGAACACCCGUGGCGAAAGCGGCUCUCUGGGACGGUACUGACGCUGAGACGCGAAAGCGUGGGGAGCGAACAGG
rnacentral:rRNA from 1 species